GCAGGGUGUGGUGGAUCCUGCCUGGAGUCCCAGCUACUCAGGAAGCUGAGGUGGGAUCGCUUGAGCCCAGGAAUUGGAGGCUGCAGUGAGCUGUGACUGUGCCACUGUGCUCCAGCCUGGGCAACAAGAGAGAAACUCCAUCUCAUAAAUAAAUAAAUUAAUUAAUUAAUUUAAGAGAUGGAGUCUCCCUCUAUCACCCAGGCUGGAGCACAGUGGCACAGUCACAGCUCACUGCAGCCUCCAAUUCCUGGGCUCAAGCGAUCCCACCUCAG
rfam:Nomascus leucogenys chromosome 9, whole genome shotgun sequence.